AAUGAACGUUGGCGGCGUGGAUUAGGCAUGCAAGUCGAGCGAGAACCCAGCAAUGGGGGACAGCGGCGUAAGGGACAGUAAUGUGUAGAUUAUCUGCCCUCGGGACCGGGAUAGCUGCGGGAAACUGCAGGUAAUACCGGAUAACAUCUCCGGAUCAAAGGUGUGAUUCCGCCCGAGGAUGAGUCUGCAUCCUAUUAGCUAGUUGGCAGGGUAAUGGCCUACCAAGGCUUUGAUGGGUAGCGGGUGUGAGAGCACGACCCGCGUCAUUGGGACUGAGACACUGCCCAGACACCGACGGGUGGCUGCAGUCGAGAAUCUUCGGCAAUGGGCGCAAGCCUGACCGAGCGACGCCGCGUGUGGGAUGAAGGCCUUCGGGUUGUAAACCACUGUUAGAGGGGAUGAAAUGCAGGUGGGUUCUCCCAUCUGUUUGACAUAGCCUCAGAGGAAGGACGGGCUAAGUUCGUGCCAGCCGCCGCGGUAA
rnacentral:rRNA from 1 species